AACCUUUAGCAACGGAUCACUUGGCUCUCGCAUCGAUGAAGAACGCAGCGAAAUGCGAUAAGUAAUGUGAAUUGCAGAUUUUCAGUGAAUCAUCGAAUCUUUGAACGCACCUUGCGCCCCUUGGUAUUCCGAGGGGCAUGCCUGUUUGAGUGUCAUCAAAUCCUCAACCCCCUCCGAUUUGUUUCGGUGGGGAUUGGACUUGGAGCGUGCUGGCGAAGGUCGGCUCCUCUUUAAAUGCAUCAGCGGAGAAAAUGCCUUUUGCGCCUCUGGCCGUUCAGCGUGAUAAUGACGUUGCGCUGCGGUCGAGCUCAAGGUCCGCUUCCAAAGGUCCUCGGACGAACGUAAACAUGACUUUUGACCUCAAAUCAGGUAGGACUACCCGCUGAACUUAAGCAUAUCAAUAAGCGGAGGCU
rnacentral:misc_RNA from 1 species